CACGCCCACACCAGGCCACAAUGAUGGCCGCCGCCAAUGUCCCAGUCCCUGGAGAGGUCUCACCUCUCACCGAGAUGCACUCAGGGCCUAUUAGUUGCCGCUGUCAACUGAGGAGCUUUGAGGAUCAAAAGCAAACCUAGAAAGCUGGACUGGAAAGGAGGAAUAGGUCUUUCCAAAGGAGUCACAUCUGAUCAAGUUGUUCCUGGCUGUCUAUCCCCUCCAGGGUAAUGUCUCAUCUCCUUACCUUGGCGUAAAAGGCAAAUCUUAAUCUGACCCAGGUGUCCUCUCCGAUGUUCUCUCUCCACACUUUUUACACUGUUUUGCACACAGCUGCACUUCCCGGGACCCGGGCACACUGGAAUCACCUCAUUUGUUGGACUUGCUGGAUCUUUGCAUAUUCUCUAAUUCCAUGUGGAUUUAUUGAGUGUCUCAGGUGUACCACACUGUGUUCUAGGCUCAGGGAGAGAGAAGAGGACAGUCAAAUUUCUUACAUUAUAAUGAUAAAUGGACAUCAAACUAACAAAUAAAUAUAUAAACAGUGUUGGAAAGAAAUACUCCUCAGAGAGUUAAUGCCCAAUAAAGGGAUAGAGAGUGAUAGAGGCCACCAUUUUAAAGCAUGUGGAUGAGGAAGGUACCUCUGAGGAGAGGAUGUUCAAGUAGAGACCUGAAUUAAAGGAGUGAAAAAGCCAUAAAAAUAUCUGGGGAACGAGGGGAGAUUCUAGGCUGGGGUAACAGUGGGACGAUUAGUGCACAAGAUCAAGGAGAAUCAUUCACAAUAGCCAAGACGUGGAAGCAACCCAAGUGUCCAUAAAAGGAUGAAUGGAUAGAGAAGAUGUGGUAUAUAUACAUAUACAUAAUGGAAUACUAUUCAGCCAUAAAAAAGACAAAAUCGUUCCAUUUGAGACAACAUGGAUGCACCCUGAGGGUAUUAUGCUAAGCAAAAUAAGCCAGACAGAGAGAUACAAGCUCCGUAUGGUUUCACUCAUAUGUGGAAGAUAAACAAACACAUGGAUAAGGAAAACAGAUUGGUGGUUACCA